AUUUUCUUACACCUAAUGCUUGCAUUCACCGUAAGAAGUUGAGUGGCGGAUGGGAGAGUAACACGUGGGUAACCUGCCUAAAAGAAGGGGAUAACACUUGGAAACAGGUGCUAAUACCGUAUAUCUCUAAGGAUCGCAUGAUCCUUAGAUGAAAGAUGGUUCUGCUAUCGCUUUUAGAUGGACCCGCGGCGUAUUAACUAGUUGGUGGGGUAACGGCCUACCAAGGUGAUGAUACGUAGCCGAACUGAGAGGUUGAUCGGCCACAUUGGGACUGAGACACGGCCCAAACUCCUACGGUAGGCAGCAGUAGGGAAUCUUCCACAAUGGACGCAAGUCUGAUGGAGCAACGCCGCGUGAGUGAAGAAGGUCUUCGGAUCGUAAAACUCUGUUGUUAGAUAAGAACACGAGUGAGAGUAACUGUUCAUUCAAUGACGGUAUCUAACCAGCAAGUCACGGCUAACUACGUGGCAGCAGCCGCGGUAAUACGUAGGUGGCAAGCGUUGUCCGGAUUUAUUGGGCGUAAAGGGAACGAAGGCCGUCUUUUAAGUCUGA
rnacentral:rRNA from 1 species